rnacentral:rRNA from 1 species
UACGUAGGGUGCAAGCGUUGUCCGGAAUUAUUGGGCGUAAAGAGCUCGUAGGCGGUCUGUCACGUCGGCUGUGAAAACCCGAGGCUCAACCUCGGGCCUGCAGUCGAUACGGGCAAACUAGAGUACUGCAGGGGAGACUGGAAUUCCUGGUGUAGCGGUGAAAUGCGCAGAUAUCAGGAGGAACACCGGUGGCGAAGGUGGGUCUCUGGGCAGUAACUGACGCUGAGGAGCGAAAGCGUGGGGAGCGAACAGG